rnacentral:pre_miRNA from 11 species
AUGGACAGAGAUAGUGCCUACGACUGGUCCAAAUUGACUCUAGUAGGGAGUCCUUGUGUACGAGUGACUCCCUAACGGAGUCAGAUUGAACCCGGUAGGAUGGAACCCCCCAUUCCCCC